GUAAACGGCGGCCGUAACUAUAACGGUCCUAAGGUAGCGAAAUUCCUUGUCGGGUAAGUUCCGACCUGCACGAAUGGCGUAAUGAUGGCCACGCUGUCUCCACCCGAGACUCAGUGAAAUUGAAAUCGCUGUGAAGAUGCAGUGUACCCGCGGCUAGACGGAAAGACCCCGUGAACCUUUACUACAGCUUGGCACUGAACAUUGACCCUACAUGUGUAGGAUAGGUGGGAGGCUUUGAAGCACGUACGCCAGUAUGUGUGGAGCCGUCCUUGAAAUACCACCCUUGUAGUGUUGAUGUUCUAACGUCGACCCCUUAUCGGGGUUGCGGACAGUGCCUGGUGGGUAGUUUGACUGGGGCGGUCUCCUCCCAAAGAGUAACGGAGGAGCACGAAGGUGGGCUAAUCACGGUUGGACAUCGUGAGGUUAGUGCAAUGGCAUAAGCCCGCUUGACUGCGAGAAUGACAAUUCGAGCAGGUGCGAAAGCAGGUCAUAGUGAUCCGGUGGUUCUGAAUGGAAGGGCCAUCGCUCAACGGAUAAAAGGUACUCCGGGGAUAACAGGCUGAUACCGCCCAAGAGUUCAUAUCGACGGCGGUGUUUGGCACCUCGAUGUCGGCUCAUCACAUCCUGGGGCUGAAGUCGGUCCCAAGGGUAUGGCUGUUCGCCAUUUAAAGUGGUACGCGAGCUGGGUUUAGAACGUCGUGAGACAGUUCGGUCCCUAUCUGCCGUGGGCGUUGGAAGAUUGAAGGGGGCUGCUCCUAGUACGAGAGGACCGGAGUGGACGAACCUCUGGUGUUCGGGUUGUGUCGCCAGACGCAUUGCCCGGUAGCUAAGUUCGGAAUCGAUAACCGCUGAAAGCAUCUAAGCGGGAAGCGAGCCCUGAGAUGAGUCUUCCCUGAUACUUUAAGUAUCCUAAAGGGUUGUCGGAG
rnacentral:rRNA from 1 species